CUGGAUGAUGCUUGGCCAUUUUUUUUCUUUUUUUUUCUUUUUUUUCUUUUUUUUGGAGAUGUGUG
rnacentral:ribozyme from 11 species